CGCAAUAGGUUGAUGGCGACCGGCGCACGGGUGAGUAACACGUAUCCAACCUACCGGUUAUUCUGGGAUAGCCUUUCGAAAGAAAGAUUAAUACCGGAUAGUAUAACGAGAAGGCAUCUUUUUGUUAUUAAAGAAUUUCGAUAAUCGAUGGGGAUGCGUUCCAUUAGUUUGUUGGCGGGGUAACGGCCCACCAAGACAUCGAUGGAUAGGGGUUCUGAGAGGAAGGUCCCCCACAUUGGAACUGAGACACGGUCCAA
rnacentral:rRNA from 1 species